UUUACUGUAACACUCCCAUUUUCAUUUUAUAACCUGAGAGUUAGCUGCAGAACACGAGUGAGUCAGCCAGCUGGUCCUCACUGCUCUCAUGUUCCUUGAGCAGGGCCUAUGCUAAAAACCUUUUGGCUGAAUGUGUUUGUUAAGGUGAUUUGAUACGGACAUGGCACUGAGGGUUACAGAUACCGCUAUACUAAAAGUGUGCCACUUCUUUUCCCCAGCAGGAAUUCUGGAGCAGCCAUCUGCACUGCUGAUUUCUGCCAGGAGAUCCGGGUUCACUUUUUCACGUCCUACAACAAUUUAUGCCCUCAGCAACCUGCACUGUGGCACCAGGGUUCCCUCAUUGCCGGCUGAGAAAUCUGAAAACGUGCAUUGCUUUGUUUUGCCCCAUUUCUUCAGGGAAAGUUGAGGCUCUUGAGCAGAAUCAGACAGAACUCUGAAUUGUCUCCGCUGUUCUGGCAGUGGUGAAGAGUGAUGCAGUUUGGGUCACCAAGUCCUCCAUCCACGGGCAAGCUGUGACCACAGAAACCUGCUUCUUCGUUUGGUGGCUAUGAGGAGAAUGCUGCUUCUUCUGGGAAGAGUUGCUUUGGGAAUGACCAGGCCAGGGGCUGGAUGUGUGUGCGUUGCACCAGGCCAGAAUAAGGAAAUGCUUUUUAUACAAGCAGGUGACAUGCAAGCAGCACAGCAAGCAGCAAUGCCUAAAGCAAAACAAACCAAAGAGAAAAUCCGGGAAGGUUUAGCAACACAGGUAAUGAUUCUGCUUAACUGUAAUCUCAGCAUCCGAGAAGAAAACAGCAAGAACUGUGAUUGGCUGACUGCAGUAUAUCACUGCUGCUCUCAGGAGCGGGCAGGUAAUUGGCCAUGCUUCACCUAACGUGGUUAGCACGGUUGUUAAUUACUUCACUCACCAGAUAAGUGAAUGCUUGUAAGCAAUUAGGGCUCAAUUCCAUGAGGAAGGACACGCACAGGGGUUUGUUCACCUUCUUUUUGCCAUAUGCUCUGGGAGUUUGAGUUGUGCCUCCGAACGCGUGGUUGUGAGGAGCUCCUAGCAGUGAGAGGAGGGUGCUGGGGUGUGGGGGGAUGGAGCUGUGGGACAGAGAGCAAACCAGAGGUGGAGUGAGUCCCUGUGCUGUCAUCCAGCACUCGGCGAGGAUGGGGAAGUGUCUGUAAGACCCAAUGCUGCUGCGUUCUCUCAUCAGUUCUCCUCUGCAGUUUUCUCCUGGCAAGCUCUACUCCAGGAUUUGCAGGGGAGACCUCAAAGGAUGUAUUAAAAAAAAAAA